CAAUGGACAAUGUUCACAUGAAGAACUCACAGCCUCCCAGCUGGGCAGAUGGGAACGGUUCCAAGAGUUCAUGCAGAACAGUGGCUUAAACAAGACCAUUCAGGACAUUUGGGCGAGCUCUGUGUGAGCACAUGUUCAUACAAAGAAGUCAGAAGAGGGUGCCGGAAAUCCUGGAACUGGAGGUACAGGUGAGCAUGUGAGUGGGAAGAGCUACUGGGAACUGAACUUGGGCCCUAUGAAAGAGCAGUGCCCACUCUUACCUGGCAAGCCUUCUUUCCAGCCCUCACAUUGUUGAGCAUUCUAGAAUUUUGGCCCCACAAAAGAUUCUGGAUUUAUCAGUUUGUUUGUUUUUUUCCUUCCAAAGUCCUUUGAAACUUCCAUUCACAUUUCAGAAUAUUAUUUCUGGAAAAACAACCACGGAGGCGAAACAUACAAGGAACUUCUUUUUAAUGGAAGAAACGAGAAUAUAAAUUGCUUUUAGAGUUCUGUUUUGUUUUACUAGGUCUGGCAGCUCUAUAGCCAAUUUCUUCACGAAAGGAAAGUGUCACAAGGAACUGAGAGCAUUUAUUAAUGUCUGUCUGCUCAGGGACAAGUUAGCCAAAGAGGCCCAUUUUAAGAGACUCCAUAUUUUACUUUGUUUUCCUGAGAACAGCCAGGACUAAUUAGAAGAUGCUCGCAGCUUGUAGUCGUUAGAUCUGAGCGUUUGCUAACAAGCUCUCCUACGUAAAACGAAGCCGGAUCACAUCUUAAUUUCCCAGUCCACGUCUCUUUCCAGGCCACCAUUGCCAUCUCUCUGUUUAAUUGCAAUAAUUUGUUUUGUUUAAUGUCAUUACUGGGCAGAGGAAGUUGGGAUAGAAAUAUCUCAAGUGCUCCACCUCAUUCGAAUCCCAGUCAUGAAUGCUGGAGAAAGCGUGGUGACUUCUUUACUAAAAAAGAAAACAGUCGAGAACAAUAGUAUGCAGUUUACGAAUUCCACCCAACCACUGGACAAAUAAGCUACCGAAUCACACGAGCCAUGUCACAACGAGGCCACACAAGACCAGCUGCUUCGUAAAGGAGCCUGGGAGCCAGAGGGGGAGCUUUGAAGAUAAAUAGUGCCACAUGUGAAAAGAAAAUAAAAAUCCUUAACAAAC